rnacentral:lncRNA from 1 species
CCGGUUAUGAGCGACCUGGACUCCUCACAUGAUAAUUGAACUUGAAGAUGGAAUUAAAUUGAGAUCCGAUGAUCUGCCAAUAAUUUGCUUAAGUGGUUUCACUUAAGUGUUUUUGUUAUAUUCAUAUUCCUUUGUUUAAGUGGGAUACUUGGGAUUCACUCUUAUUAGUAAGACAGGUGUUGUUAAUAAAAUAUUGACCAACUAAAAUGCUUACUGCUCAACCUUAGCCUCACCUUGUUAUACCUGCAUUAGUUUUUCCCCCACUUGCUGAGCCCCGACCAUAAGUGAGCUCACCCUUGCUAAUAUUUUGAUCAGAGGGUGAUGCUGGAGACUUUGAUGGAGAUUUUAUCGACGACGAUGAUUUCUAAGUCUAAUGAUGAGCCGGUCAUCUUCCUGUGGGAGAUUGCCCAGUUGUUUAUAUUCCGCUUUACUUUGAUGUGAUACUUGUUAAAGAUACAAUGAUUCAGAUGAUGUAAUAAAGUAUUCUACUCUCUUUACGCCUUUAUUGCAUUGUCUUUUGAUAUAUUACACUUGUGACGUCAACAUAUGUGUGGAAAUGGAUCCUGGCACACAUAUGCUAUGCGCUCGGUUCUACCCCCUGGAACCGGGUGUGACAGAAGUGGUAUCAGAGGCUAUGCUGACCCUAGGUCAUUAGAUUAGUUAGAAAUGGAAAGCCUAGUUGUUCAAAACUUGCUAUUUUCAUUCCUAUAAAUUCCUUUAUCAGUCUUACCUCUUUGAAAUUCAACUGAGUUGACACUUCUCUUGUAGAUGGUUCGCACUCUUCAAACUACCCGCGUCAACACCAGCUACGCCCCUCAGCCCCGGCAGGUCCCGGUCUACCCAGUGGUAGUCGAGGAAGCUCCAGCGAAUCUCCCUCCCGUCCGAGUAGAGAACGUAAUCAACCUGGAGGACAGCUCGGAGGAGCAGCUGCCGACCCCCACCCCAUUGGCCGAGUCCCUGGCCGUCGCAGCUGGGUCAUCGACGUCAGCAUCGUCGGCACCAGCCUUCCAAGCACCUGCACCUGGAGGCAACGACCCCGACGACUCCGGAGACGGCGAUGACGAGGACGAUGACGACGAAGACGAUGGAGAAGACGGACACAUCAACGAGGAAGCUGACUACGCCCAGCAGGACCACUUCAUGGGGAUUGAUCCAGUUGUCGAACAUUACACAUCAAUGUUCGAGACAGGACACUUCCCAAACCUGCUGCAAGCAGUGCUGCACGAGCUAGGAGCCUACGCCCGCCCCCUGUACGAGACGAGGCGAGUGAGCGAGCCUCCCCGGGCUUGCUAUUACAUCACUCGCAUCCAUGUCAGGGUGAUGGAUGCAGGUGACAGGGGAUUCAGGACUCUGUCUGCUCACGAGUCCCUGAUACCGCUGUCCACCUACGCUGCCUCGGUCAGCGACGCUGCCCGUCGGACCCUGUGGUCGCUCAGCCACACCUACCGGCAGCAGCUGCAGAACACGAGGUUCAGGCACCUUCCUCAGCGCCUAUGUGGAGAAAGCCAGACCAACAUUGUCCCAGGUGAACCUGGUGAGGAUCGCCUCAACACCCUAGCUGGUGUAGUGGCCGGUCUCAACAACGACCUGGACAGUGCCACUCUGGACCUCUACAGUGUGCACUUGGAGCUGGAGAAUGCCCACGCCAGGAUUGCAGCCCUGGAAGCCCAACUGCAAGGACUGGAUCUGCCAGAAGCUCAGGUCCCCACCGUGGCGUUGUCUCCUCCCCGCAAGAGGUUGCGCUAUGGAGAGCCCGGAUCAGUCACUAGGCUGCUUUAGGAGUUUUGAGUCAUGAUGUAAUAAGUUAUACUUCGCGUUAGACGAUGAUACUCUCUUUAUGUUAUCAUAUCAAUAAAUAUCAACCAUGUGAUGGUGAUUGAUUGAAAUGUUUGAUUUGGAUCUUUGUUUGAGUGCAAUGGUCUUAUGGAAUGAUGGCCAUAAGAACAUAUAAAAUUUUUAAAACUUAAGUCAUUUCCCCUCUAGAAUCUUUCUACUCUUCUCUUCUCUAAGAUGUUCACUUUCUAACCAAUCAGAUGGUGAACCAACGUCAAGGACCUAACAACCGGAACUAGCGUGGACAACAAGCACCACCACCACCACCACCUAAUCCCAACAUGGAGCAGUUCAUCGCCGCCCAAAUGCAGAUUCUGCAAGGACUCACUGCUGCGGUUCAGCAAUUACAACAGAACCAACAGAAUCAGCAACCCCAGCAGCAGCAGUAUGCACCCCGGCCAGAGAUAAGCACCGGGACUUCAUGAGUCAUCACUCGCCGACAUUCUCUCAUGCGGUUGAUCCCCUGGAUGCCGAUGACUGGCUCAAAGUCAUUGGGAAGAAGCUGGACAUCGCUCAGUGCAACGACCGAGAGAAGGUCUUGUACGCCUCGGGAAGACUCGAGGGAGCUGCGUCCGAUUGGUGGGAUGCCUUCACAGCGGCACAUCCCAACGCUGAUACCAUAACCUGGCAGGAGUUCCAAGAGAACUUCCGCGCUCACCACAUUCCUUCGGGAAUCAUGAAGCUGAAGAAGAAGGAGUUCCUUUCCCUUACUCAAGGGAAUAUGUCUGUCAGUGAGUAUCGUGAUCGCUUCACUCAGCUUUCACGCUACGCACCAGAAGAAGUGGACACUGAUGAGAAGCGCCAAGAGCGUUUCCUGGAAGGAUUGAUUGGACCUCUGAACUAUCAACUUCAGAGUCACACUUUUCCCAACUUCCAGACACUGCUGAACAAGGCAAUUGGCCUUGAGAGUAAAAGGAAGGAGCUAUCUGACCACAAAAGAAAAUUUCAAGGUCAGUCCAGCAGGAACACCCGGCCAAACAAUGCUCAAGGUUCGCAGUUCCGCUCUGGAAAUCAGGGUGGAAAUAAUUAUCAAGUACAGCGCUCUGGACAGCAAAGCCAGAGAAGUAAUCAAAACCAGUACCAGCAAAGAAGCAACUCCCAGACCAACCAGAGGUCUGGUGGAAAUUCACAGAACCGUCAAGGUGGCACCAACAACACUCAGGCCAGAAACAACGCACCUGUCCAACCCAAUGGAUGUUUCAAGUGCGGUGAGCUAGGCCACUAUGCCAACAACUGCCCAAGGCGCAACCAGCAGACACCCCAGAAAGGCAAUAAUCAGAGGAAUGACCAGAACACCCCCGCUCGUGGAUCUGCUCAGAACAAGACACCACAGAACCAGAGCAGAGGAAGGGUCAAUCACGUCACUGCGGAAUCAGUGCCUGAGGAUGCCGACAUUGUGUAUGGUAUGUUCCUUGUUAACUCCAUACCUGCAUCAGUUUUAUUUGACUCUGGAGCAUCACAUUCAUUUAUAACUGAGUCAUUUGUGGAAAAACAUAACAUACCUAAGUACCCUCUGAAGAGGAUAUUACACAUUAGUUCACCGGGAGGUGACAUGAAGGCCACACACUCAUGCCCUCAUGUUAAUAUCAAGAUUCAAGGAAUAGAUUUUACAGUCGAUCCAGUGGUCCUAGGAUCCAACGGGAUUGAUGUGAUUCUUGGAUGCAACUGGUUGAAAAGUUGUGAUGGAGUGAUACAGUGUGCCAAUAUAACUAUUAUGUUGACAAGUCCUCAAGGUGAAAGAAUCCAAGUUAACAUAGACAAGUCAACAGAUGAAAAAGGGAAGACAGUGAUCAAUCACUUGGAAGAAAAGCCCUUGGAAAAUAUCAAAGUAGUGUGUGAAUACCCAGACGUAUUUCCGGAGGAAUUACCAGGUAUGCCACCUGACCGUGAUAUAGAGUUUUCUAUUGAAUUAGUACCCGGAACCGCACCUAUCUUGAAAAGACCUUAUAGAAUGGAUGGCAAAGAUUUAGUAGAACUGAAGAAACAAAUAGAAGAAUUACUAGAAAAAGGUUUUAUUCGCCCAAGUUCAUCCCCUUGGGGAGCCCCAGUGCUGUUUGUGAACAAGAAGGAUGGUUCGAGAAGAAUGUGCGUUGAUUAUAGAAGUUUGAAUGAAGUAACCGUCAAGAAUAAAUACCCACUACCUCGGAUUGAAGAUUUAUUCGAUCAAAUGAAGGGAGCUAAGAUAUUCUCGAAGAUAGAUCUGAGAUCGGGAUAUCAUCAGUUAAAGAUUCGAGCAGAAGAUGUACCGAAGACAGCCUUCACAACGAGAUAUGGAUUAUAUGAGUUUUUGGUCAUGUCAUUUGGACUGACUAAUGCACCAGCAUACUUUAUGAACUUGAUGAAUAAAGUAUUCAUGGAAUAUCUGGAUCAGUUUGUGGUCGUAUUCAUUGACGACAUACUGAUAUAUUCUCCGAAUGAAGAAGCACACGAAGAUCAUCUAAGGCUAGUCCUACAAAAGCUUCGUGACAACCAACUGUACGCAAAAUUCUCGAAGUGUGAUUUUUGGUUGAAAGAAGUUGCUUUCUUAGGGCAUAUUGUUACCGAUCGUGGAAUUAAAGUGGACCCAGGAAAGAUAAGUGAGAUACUAGAUUGGAAGCAACCAAAGGAUGCGUCCAAGAUCAGAAGUUUUCUUGGAUUGGCGGGAUACUAUAGAAGAUUUAUUGAAGGUUUUUCCAAGUUAGUAAAACCACUUACUUCUCUACUAGAGAAAGGCAAAGAGUUCAAAUGGGAUGAAGCUUGCCAGAAUUGUUUUGAAGAACUCAAGAAAAGGUUAACCACUGCACCAAUAUUGGUAAUGCCAGACAUCCACAAGGGAUUUGAUGUGUAUUGCGAUGCAUCACACCUUGGACUUGGAUGUGUGCUAAUGCAAGAAGGAAAAGUGAUUGCUUAUGCUUCAAGACAGUUGAGGAAACAUGAGAAGAAUUAUCCUACGCAUGAUUUGGAACUAGCUGCCGUAGUGCAUGCUUUGAAGAUUUGGAGGCACUAUAUGAUUGGAAACAAGUGCAAAAUCUUCACGGAUCACAAAAGCUUGAAAUACAUAUUCACUCAGAAGGAACUCAACCUCAGACAGAGAAGAUGGCUUGAGUUGAUUAAGGACUAUGAUUUGGAGAUACAAUAUCACCCCGGAAAGGCAAAUGUAGUAGCUGAUGCUUUGAGCCGUAAGGGUCAAGUGAACAACAUCACUACUCAUUUGAUGUCACAAGAAUUGUGCUGGGAAAUGGAACGACUCAACCUUGGAUUGCUCAAUAAUGUAGAGGCAACGGUGAUGGAAGUCGAAUCUACUUUGGAAGAAGAGAUUCGUAAAGGACAAGAGUCUGAUGAGAAAAUUAAGGAAAUUAAAGCUUUGAUUAGUUUGGGUAAAGCCCCAUAUUUCACGGAAGAUGAUCAAGGCACAGUAUGGUUUAAAAAGAGAAUCUGCGUACCAGAAAUCGAGCACUUGCGCCAACUUAUUUUGAGAGAAGCUCAUGAUUCAGCUUACUCUAUUCACCCUGGAAGUACAAAGAUGUACCAGGAUCUUAAGGAAAAGUAUUGGUGGUAUGGUUUGAAAAGAGAUGUUGCUACUCAUGUUGCAUUAUGUGACGUGUGUCAACGAGUUAAAGCCGAACACCAAAGACCAGCAGGAUUGCUACAACCUCUCAAGAUACCGGAAUGGAAAUGGGAAGAAAUCAGUAUGGAUUUCAUAGUUGGACUACCCCGUACUCGAGAUGGCUAUGAUUCAAUAUGGGUCAUAGUAGACAGGUUAACUAAAGUAGCACACUUUAUACCUGUGAAGACAACCUACUCAGGAGCCCAGUUAGCAGAGUUGUACAUGUCGAGGAUUGUUUGUCUGCAUGGAGUACCGAAGAAGAUCGUAUCAGAUCGAGGAACCCAGUUUACCUCGCGCUUUUGGAAAAGACUUCAUGAGUCCAUGGAUACCAAGCUAAAUUUUAGUUCAGCUUAUCAUCCGCAAACGAAUGGGCAAACGGAAAGAACAAACCAAGUGUUGGAAGAUAUGCUAAGAGCUUGCGCUCUAAAGCAUGGUAGAAGCUGGGAUAAAAGUUUGCCUUAUGCAGAAUUUUCGUAUAACAACAGUUAUCAAGCAAGUCUCAAAAUGGCACCGUUUGAAGCACUAUAUGGACGAAAGUGUAGAACACCGCUUUAUUGGAAUCAGUCUGGAGAAAGUCAAGUAUUUGGUCCAGAAAUUCUCCAAGAGGCGGAAAAACAAGUGCAGAUUAUCAGAGAAAAUUUGAAGACAGCACAGUCAAGACAGAAGAGCUAUGCUGAUAAUAGAAGAAGAGAGUUGAUGUUUGAAGUAGGAGACUUUGUCUACCUUAAAGUUUCACCGAUGAGAGGAAUGAAAAGGUUUAAGGUUAAAGGAAAAUUAUCACCUCGCUAUAUUGGCCCAUUCAAGAUUUUGGAAAGAAAAGGUGAAGUAGCCUACCAGUUAGAGCUACCCGAUAGAUUAUCGGAUGUGCAUGACGUAUUUCAUGUGUCGCAACUCAAGAAGUGCUUAAGAGUACCAGAAGAACAGUUACCCAUGGAAGAACUGAAUGUUAAUGAAGAUUUGACUUAUUCGGAGUACCCAAUCAGAAUUCUGGAAACAUCUCGCAGAAUUACACGGAGUAAAGUCAUUAACAUGUGCAAAGUUCAGUGGAGUCAUCAUUCAGAAGAUGAGGCCACUUGGGAAAGAGAAGAUGAACUCAAAGCAGAAUUCCCCCAGUUAUUCUCGGAAGGUUCUUAAUCUCGAGGACGAGAUUAUUUUUAAGAGGGGUAGGUUUGUAACACCAUAAAAGCCAUCAAUUAAAAUAAUAAAUUUAGACAUUAUAUUAAUUAGGGUAAUAAAUUUUUCUUAGUGUUUAACUAUUUAUUUGCAUCGUUUUUCUUUGCAUGCACGUGAUUUCUUAUCGGAUGUUUAAAUAUCAAUCCAUUUUAAAAAGAAGUACUAGUAAUUAAAUAAUAAUUAAGUAUUAUAGUAAUUAUUAGUCUAAAAAUAAGUACUUCAUUUAUAAAUAUUUUUGGUAAUUUUUUUAUGAUUUUUAGAGUUCUUUAAAAAUGAAUUUCGGAAUUUAAAAAUAAUAAAAAAAAACCUAAAACUACCCAGCCGGCCCACCUAGGGGCCCAUGCCCCAAACCCUAGCACUAGCACCGCGCGCGCACGCUCCCCAGCCAAAACAGCCGCCGCCUCUACUCCUCUCUCUCCCCUAAUCUCUCUCUCCCUCUCUUCUCUCUCUCAUCUCCCUCAUCUCUCUGCUCUUUCUCUCACGCGCGCGCGCACAGGAGAUCGAGCCAGCCGCUGCCUGCGCGCGAGCCCAGGAGGCCGAGCGCCCAGCGCCUGCUCCCAGCCGCGACGCGCGAGCAGCCGACCGGCCGCACCCGAUGCCGAGCCGGCCCUGCACGCAAGCAAGCCUCGCCGCGCGCCAGCCCCUGCGCGCGUCCAACCGCGGCCGAGCAUCCGCCGAGCCGCCCUUCCCUGUAGCAGAGCCGAAGUCCAACGCGACGACCAAGCCGACCGACCCGAGCACCGCGAUUGCAUCCGCCGUUUCUGUGAUUAUUGGAGCUUGAAUCCCUCCGUUUCUCCUCCCCCAUUCCUCCUCCAUUAUGCUCCUUGAGGAAACUGAUGUAGUGAUGGCUAAUAAAGACCACGUUACUCUGGCAGACCAUUCCUCUCCCCUCCCUCUCUCUAUAAAAGGGGACAGCAGAGCUCUCUCUUCUCUCCUGCCUACCCAAGCGCCCCAUCUCUCUAGCUCACCAUUGCACUGCUCGACGCCGUCGUUCGUUGCUGUUCGCCGGAGUUCGCCGCUCGUUGCCGGAGCCCGUGGAGUUCGCCGGAGUGUGCCGUUCGUCGCCGGAGUUCACCGGAGCCACGUACUCGCUGUCCAUAGUCGAGCCCCGCUCUCCGUCCGGCCGAAACCCCGUCGAACUCUCCCCGUCGCACGCGCGAACUUGAGUUUGAUGACGACCCAAAUUUAUUUUAUGUAUUUUAUAAAGUGCUUUCGAUUCGAUUCAUGAGUUGUAUAGUUUGUUUGUUGUAUGAACACAUGUGAGUCGCGACAUUAUGUAUAUGUGUAUGAGCGUUAUGGAAUUGUUUGGUAGUUUCAAGCGAUUAUUCGUACACCUUGUUAUUUCAUGUUAAUCGAUGCGUUGAAUUUUGGAUUAGGAAUAUGACAACAUUUAGUAGUCACACUUUGGCAAUAAAAAUGCUAGAUAGGAAUUUUUGUAGUUAAAUUUGGUUACAAUAAAUUUUAGAAACUACUUGGAGAAUUAUAGGUGCAUUUUUGAUGGAUUAGAAAAUGGUAAUAGAACUCAUGUCAUUUGAAUAAUAUAGGAUUUUAGAUGAUUUAUCUAAUUAUUUUAUUGGCAUAUUUUUUUUUAUAAAGAAAGGAGAAAAUAUCAUUGGUAGAUGGCAAAAUAGGUUUUUGUUAGUCAAAUAAACAUGUUCACAAAUUUAGAACUUAAAAUUGUUAGAAUACUAGUUUAUGUCAAAUAACCUCGCUUGUGUUAGAAAAUGUUCAAUUAAUAGUUUAUGUAGAUUUUUAGAAUAUUAAUAUUAUUGAUUUCAUUUUUGCUAUACUAACUAAUUUGUGUUAGAAGUAAUAAAAGGUAUUAAUUUAUUUAUUAGGAUUAAAAGUUAAUAAGUAUUAUUUAUCUCCAUUGAUGAUGUUAAAAUAAAUUAAUAUUAGUUAAAAUUAUAUUUAUUACACCCACUCAUAAAUUCACCAUUAGGAUUCAUAUUAAUAGCCACAAUUGAAUUAAUAAGUAUUUACGCGAUUAGUACGUAAUUAAGAUAUGAUUAGUGCGAUAGGUUAAUGUGUGCUUAAUGACGUAUUGGUGUAUGUUUAUGAAUGGUGCAUAUUUAUUUAUUGGUGUAUGUUUUAUUUUUGUAUGUGCGCUAUGCGACUCUAUUAGAAGCGGAUUGUGCGGUAGACGAUCCGAACUCGUUCGAGGAUGAUCCGCAGGACUCGCUUGAGCAAGGCAAGUGGAUUCUCCCUCUGCAUAUUCUGUUUGUACCUAUUCAUUGCAUAUAAUAAUGUUUAUUGUUUUUAUAUAUAUUGCAUAAUUUGAUGGGAUAGCCUAAUUAAGGAUUUCCUAGAUUUACUACCUGUAUUCCUUGUUUAACCUGGGAAAAUAAUUAAGCUGUGCAAGAUUCAUGCUACCGCUCAACUUAAUGAUUCUUAAUGUCACUCUUGAAUUGGUUUUAAUGUUCCAAAAAUGUUAAUUUGCAAUUAUGACAUUAACCCGAUGGUUAAAGAUAACUUUAUUACAAAUUAAUUGGAACAUGGAGUGACCACCCAGGAUAACAGUGCAACCACGAGUGCUAUCAUGGCUCUGGCUUUGGUAAAUAGCUCUAUAUGCUUAGUGCCUAGCAACCUUACCUGAAAGAUGGGCAAGAGGGGGAGCGGUAGGUGCUGGCAGCCCACGUUAACAUGGGGUCGUAUUCUUGACUAAGGUACUUCACCCAGGGGGCCACCACCAUCGUCUUAGAAACCUUAGCGGGUUGCUUCGUAUUAAGUGUAUUUUCUGAAAACCUCAUAAUGGAUCCCUAGCCAUUCACCUCGGUAGUGUCUAAGGGUCCGAUCAACCCGGGCUAGAUGGGAUACAUGGCUUGUGGGUAAAGUUGUACCACCUCUACAGAGUGUAAAACUGAUAUAUCAGCCGUGCUCCCGGUUAUGAGCGACCUGGACUCCUCACAUGAUAAUUGAACUUGAAGAUGGAAUUAAAUUGAGAUCCGAUGAUCUGCCAAUAAUUUGCUUAAGUGGUUUCACUUAAAUGUUUUUGUUAUAUUCAUAUUCCUUUGUUUAAGUGGGAUACUUGGGAUUCACUCUUAUUAGUAAGACAGGUGUUGUUAAUAAAAUAUUGACCAACUAAAAUGCUUACUCCUCAACCUUAGCCUCAACUUGUUAUACCUGCAUUAGUUUUUCCCCCACUUGCUGAGCCCCGACCAUAAGUGAGCUCACCCUUGCUAAUAUUUUGAUCAGAGGGUGAUGCUGGAGACUUUGAUGGAGAUUUUAUCGACGACGAUGAUUUCUAAGUCUAACGAUGCGCCGGUCAUCUUCCUGUGGGAGAUUGCCCAGUUGUUUAUAUUCCGCUUUACUUUGAUGUGAUACUUGUUAAAGAUACAAUGAUUCAGAUGAUGUAAUAAAGUAUUCUACUCUCUUUACGCCUUUAUUGCAUUGUCUUUUGAUAUAUUACACUUGUGACGUCAACAUAUGUGUGGAAAUGGAUCCUGGCACACAUAUGCUAUGCGCUCAGUUCUACCCCCUGGAACCGGGUGUGACAUAUUCAAU